rnacentral:rRNA from 1 species
UCGGUGAAAUGCGUAGAUAUCAAGAGGAACACCUGAGGUGAAGACGGGUUGCUGGGCUGACACUGACGCUGAGGCGCGAAAGCCAGGGGAGCAAACGGGAUUAGAUACCCCGGUGGUCCUGGCCCUAAACGAUGAAUACUUGGUGUCUGGAGUUAUAUGUGCUCCGGGUGCCGUCGCUAACGUUUUUAGUAUUCCGCCUGGGGAGUACGCUCGCAAGAGUGAAACUCAAAUGAAUUGACGG